GCUCCCGCCACCGGGCCCGCAGCACGCCGCCGCCGCCGCAGCCUAGGUCACGUGAGUGCCCACGCGCGCGUCUUGUCAGCGGAUUCGUCGCCGGCCUGCUCAGACUAGGUUCUGCCCACUCUGACCUCUAAAUGAUUACUAGGAAAGCCAAGUCUCUCCUCCUGGAUUUCUUCUCCUGUAAACUGCCUAUUGAAACCUACCCACUUCUCUAUGGAGCGUAGAUGAAGGAUAUUGGUCAUCAUCUAGUACAACGUCUGCAAUGGAACAGGCAAGCUGUGAAUAUUUGUGAUAUGCAUGGGUGGACUAAAGACCCAUCGCCUCUCUCUAGAGUGCCCAGCGUGUUGGAGCAUGUGAAGCACUAUAUAAGCUGCUGAGGAUACAGAAUUAAACAACAACACAGGUGUGUCCUCUGCCCAAACCAGGCAUAAAUGAGCUUCCAAAUGAACACAAACAAAUCUGGAAGGCUUUUGAGGAAGAAGAACCAUUACAAAAGGGGAAGACCGUGUGCGGAUCUGGACCUUCCCAGAUAGCAGUUCUGACCGUGGCCUUCUAGCAUUCACUCUCCUGGCUCUCAUCACUCCACAGAUUGAGAAGAAAGCUCCGCCAAUGAUCCCACCAUUUCUUUGUGAUACACAUAAGAAAGACUCACUGAAUUACUUUAGUGAAAUCUUUGUUAAAUGGGCCUUUGUGUAUAUGGUACUGUGUUGGGUUGCUUGUAUUCAGAAAUUAGUCACAUUGAUACUAUGUCUGCUCCAUGAAAACCUGUAUUACUGUAUUAGUUCUCACACAAUAAUACAAAGGGAAAAGAAACCAAUUUAGUAAAAACACAGACUAUGUUAUUCAUAGAUUUGAGCUCAAGGAUAAUUACUGAAAGCUAAUCUUUUUAAAUAACAUAUAUGCUGAUUAAAAGGCAACUCUAAAUAUGAGUUGGUUCUCUGUUUUCAUAAUGAAAAAACACAAAGUUUUGGGUCAAGAUGAACAUAUGAACACAAUGGAUGUUAACAAAAUAGUGAAUGUUUACUUGAGCUAGUUAAUAUGAAUCUGGUUAUACAAUCAUAUUUGAAAUAAUAUUAUAAAAACAUACCAAUUUGAAAUAUUUCUUCUCAUUUCAGAAAUAAUUUUACUCAAAUUCUUCAAAUUCUUGAAGACAAUAGUCUUCAUUAUCAGAAGAGCCACUAUUUGAGCCAUCUAAUUUUUUCUAAUUCUAAACGGUUUUUAAGAUAAAAUACCUUUGAAUUGGCAUAUGAUACUAUAAUUGUAAAUUUUAUUCCAAAACAAAGUAACCAAUUGUGAAACAGUAGAACAAUUGUUUUACAUUGUCCCAUAAGACAUACAUUUGUUAUCUCCACAAAGCAAAGGUGAAUUGCUUUAUAAAAAACUGAUCUUAAUAAUCUUGUUUAUAUCCAUAUCCCAACACUACAAUUUGAAGGUCCUACCUGGAAGAAUAAUUACCAAAUCUGUACUAAAAGUCUUUGUCUCUUUUAUUAGCUCAGUUAGAUGACUUUUUAAGAUUCCCCAUAUAGCUCUAAUUGACAUCUUUUCAGGCUAAUUUGUCUUUCCUAAAUAAUUUGUAAUUAAAAUAGGAUAAUUGGAAUAAUGCUUCCAUCAAACAAGAGUCUUGGAGAGGACUUGGAUAUUAAGUGUCUUAGUCCAUUUGGGCUGCCACAGCAGAAUAUCAUAGAGUGAGUGCUUUGUAAACAACAAAUAUUUAUUUCUCAUAGUUCUGAAGUUGGAAUUCCAAUAUCAAGGUGCCUGCAGAUUCAGUGUCUGGCGAAGAACCGCUUCCUCAUUCAUAGUGGCGGUCUUCUCAUUGUGUCUUCACAGAGCAGAAGGGGAGAGGGAGAUCUCUGGGGUCUCUUUUAUAAGGACACUAGUCCCAUUCGUGAGGUUUCCUCCAGGCUUCCUCCCUCAUGACAUAAUCAACUCCUAAAGACUCAGUCUCCUAAUGCCAUCACUUUGGCAGUUAGGAUUUCAACAGAUGAAUUUGAGGGGACAUAAACAUUUACGUUUAUGUAACUCCUUUAAGUAACUCCUUUUCUCUGAGGACUUAUUUGGUAAAACACAAAAACAAACAACAUUCUUCAAAUAACUUGGCCUUUAUUUUUGCCUGACAGUUAAUCACAUUUUGUUGUAGUUUUGUCUUUGGUAUUAUUGUUCCUUAGGGUAAAGUUUUUCAACCAUUGAAGCCACAGAAAAUCUUUAAGGUAUUUAACAUAUACAUGUUUAAGCAUUUACACACUGCUAAUAAAGAAAUACCUGAGACUGGGUAAUUUAUAAAGUAAAGAGGUUUAAUUGACUCAAAGUUC